rnacentral:rRNA from 1 species
UCUUUUCCUUUUUUUCCCUCCUCCUCUUUACUACGUAGGGGGCAAGCGUUAUCCGGAAUUACUGGGUGUAAAGGGUGCGUAGGUGGUAUGGCAAGUCAGAAGUGAAAACCCAGGGCUUAACUCUGGGGCUGCUUUUGAAACUGUCAGACUGGAGUGCAGGAGAGGUAAGCGGAAUUCCUAGUGUAGCGGUGAAAUGCGUAGAUAUUAGGAGGAACAUCAGUGGCGAAGGCGGCUUACUGGACUGAAACUGACACUGAGGCACGAAAGCGUGGGGAGCAAACAGG